rnacentral:rRNA from 1 species
UACGUAGGGCGCAAGCGUUAUCCGGAAUUAUUGGGCGUAAAGAGCUCGUAGGCGGUUUGUCGCGUCUGCCGUGAAAGUCCGGGGCUCAACUCCGGAUCUGCGGUGGGUACGGGCAAACUAGAGUGAUGUAGGGGAGACUGGAAUUCCUGGUGUAGCGGUGAAAUGCGCAGAUAUCUGGAGGAACACCGGUGGCGAAGGCGACAUCCUGGACCGGUAUUGACGCUGAGGCGCGAAAGCCAGGGGAGCAAACGGG